rnacentral:tRNA from 1 species
AAUUUAUGAACUUGAAUAAGUAUAUAUUUUGAAAAUAUAAAAUAGAAAUCAAAUUUUCUAUAAAUUU